rnacentral:rRNA from 1 species
CGGGAAACUGGGGAUAAUAGCUGAUAGAAAACGCCAGCUGGAAUGCGGCGUUUCCGAAAGACACCGCUGAAGGAUGCGGCUGCGGCCGAUUAGGUAGACGGUGGGGUAACGGCCCACCGUGCCAGUAAUCGGUACGGGUGAUGAGAGUCAGAGCCCGGAGACGGAAUCUGAGACAAGAUUCCGGGCCCUACGGGGCGCAGCAGGCGCGAAACCUUUACACUGCACGGAAGUGCGAUAGGGGAAUCCCAAGUGCGAGGGCAUAUUAGCCCUCGCUUUUCUCGACUCUAAGGUGGUCGACGAAUAAGAGCUGGGCAAGACCGGUGCCAGCCGCCGCGGUAACA